AAGAUGGACAUGUUCAAUUAAAAUAUUUAGCAUUGGAAGGUAGCAGAACCUCUACAGGUGUGGUAAAACAAUGUAAAAAAUAAAGACACAUGUACAGACAAAACGAAAGCAACAUUUACAGGUCAACCUUUUUUGGUGCAUAUACAAACAAGGAAGAAUUUAAAAAGACAAUUCAUCCUCGGUCAGGUUUAGUGAAGAAGAAGGAAA